rnacentral:rRNA from 1 species
GAUGAACGCUAGCGGCAGGCUUAAUACAUGCAAGUCGAGGGGACAACAGGGGGUAGCAAUACCUGCUGGCGACCGGCAAACGGGUGCGGAACACGUACAGAACCUUCCUUUAAGUUGGAGAUAGCCCGGAGAAAUCCGGAUUAAUACCUAAUAGUAUUAUGGUGUGCAUCACAUUAUAAUUAAAGCCUUGGCGCUUAGAGAUGGCUGUGCGUAUGAUUAGGUAGUUGGNGCGGGUAACGGCCCACCAAGCCUUCGAUCAUUAACUGGUGUGAGAGCACGACCAGUCACACGGGCACUGAGACA